rnacentral:rRNA from 1 species
UACUGCAGUCGACGCUUCUUUUUCCACCGGAGCUUGCUCCACCGGAAAAAGAGGAGUGGCGAACGGGUGAGUAACACGUGGGUAACCUGCCCAUCAGAAGGGGAUAACACUUGGAAACAGGUGCUAAUACCGUAUAACAAUCGAAACCGCAUGGUUUUGAUUUGAAAGGCGCUUUCGGGUGUCGCUGAUGGAUGGACCCGCGGUGCAUUAGCUAGUUGGUGAGGUAACGGCUCACCAAGGCCACGAUGCAUAGCCGACCUGAGAGGGUGAUCGGCCACAUUGGGACUGAGACACGGCCCAAACUCCUACGGGAGGCAGCAGUAGGGAAUCUUCGGCAAUGGACGAAAGUCUGACCGAGCAACGCCGCGUGAGUGAAGAAGGUUUUCGGAUCGUAAAACUCUGUUGUUAGAGAAGAACAAGGAUGAGAGUAACUGUUCAUCCCUUGACGGUAUCUAACCAGAAAGCCACGGCUAACUACGUGCCAGCAGCCGCGGUAAUACGUAGGUGGCAAGCGUUGUCCGGAUUUAUUGGGCGUAAAGCGAGCGCAGGCGGUUUCUUAAGUCUGAUGUGAAAGCCCCCGGCUCAACCGGGGAGGGUCAUUGGAAACUGGGAGACUUGAGUGCAGAAGAGGAGAGUGGAAUUCCAUGUGUAGCGGUGAAAUGCGUAGAUAUAUGGAGGAACACCAGUGGCGAAGGCGGCUCUCUGGUCUGUAACUGACGCUGAGGCUCGAAAGCGUGGGGAGCAAACAGGAUUAGAUACCCUGGUAGUCCACGCCGUAAACGAUGAGUGCUAAGUGUUGGAGGGUUUCCGCCCUUCAGUGCUGCAGCUAACGCAUUAAGCACUCCGCCUGGGGAGUACGACCGCAGGUUGAAACUCAAAGGAAUUGACGGGGCCCGCACAAGCGGUGGAGCAUGUGGUUUAAUUCAAGCAACGCGAAGAA